CGGGAGCUCUGCAUUUGUACCCCCUGUUCCUGAGCCAAGGAGGACAAACAGUGGACCUGAAUUAUUUGUUUCCAGUUUUGUUCUGGUUUGGUUUUUUAGACUUCUAUGUUUGUGUGUACUUUACCGAACAAAGUGUCUUGGUGUCAGCACAAGUCUUAAGAACUUUGCUGCUUGUUCAGGGUUGCAGUGAAACCUCUCUGAUCCGUCCCUACGAUUAGAGCAGUGUGGGUCAUGCCUAGCACAGGAAAAUUAUAGUACUUAAACACUGCGUGGGGUUAAGAAAAUCAAUUUUUCAGCCUGCAGGCAGGAGUAGAAUUGAGAGGGUUUUUUUUUUCUCAGAUGCCAAUUAAAAACUGGUACAGAACUGCAUAGAGUGACUGUGGCUGCCUCUUCCCAAAAACCAUGUGGCGAAGUAGUAAUGCUGAUUUGAAACAAUGAAAGGGAAACGUUAAGAAUGAAGGUGUGGCAGCAAAAAAUCUUUUCUGGGACAACAAUCAAAUAUAUAUUUGGGGGGUUUAUUUUUUUAAGUUAAGAAUGAAAUGUAAAACAAUGUAAAAACAAAAAAAUACAAAGCUCAUCCUAAUAUAAUGUGCGUCUUGUAUUGCUGAAAAAAAAAAAGAGUCUAACAUACAGUGUAAAAUGAUUUCCCAUCAUGUACUGCAUGCAGCAGAAGCCUCUUGUUUCUUGAUAAAAUGAGCUGAGAGACAGUCAGCAGAUAUUUAAACACUGAAUCUCUAGAUGUUGACUUGCUGUUCCACAUGAAGCUGUGUGUUUUCUGCAGUUAAGCAUGCAUUUUGCUGUUCCCCUUGUAAAAUACCAUCGCACUUCUUGCCUGCAAAAUGGAUUCUUGUGUAUAUAUUUAAAAGAAAAGUGGAACCAAUAACAAGAUUCAAUUUGGAAAAGAGAGAAGGGGUUGUGCUGAAAACGGGACCAGUAGGGGGAAUAGAGAAUUCUCUAAAUUGUACAUAGUGUGUAAAUUAGCAUUACUCUAAGUCUGCAGUCACUUUGAGGUUGCCUAUCUCCUGCUAGGAACUUAAAUCAGCUUUGAGUUGUACUAAACUGUUAGAAUUAGGUCUUGAAUGCAGACUGUUAAAGACUUCAAAAACAUUACGCUUACAAGAAGCUUCUGUUCUGGGGAGGCUUGAGACCCCUUUUGUAACUCUGGGGAAGAAAGGAGUGCUUUCAUUUUAAUAUGCAUUCUGUUUGUAAGUAGUAACAGACCCUAUUGAUGUAAAACUAUAACUGUGAUCAUGUGGAGAAAUCAAAUAAAUCAUUUAAAACUCCUCGUUUCUCAUUUCGUGUAAUCCAAGAGGUUCCAACUCCUCGGAUUUGAACUGAAGGGAAUUCCUCUCCAUGGUAUCCUGGCCCUGCUGAGGCGAUGGGAUUUCUGCUGCUCACUCCUCCAAGAGUUCAGUCCUCAUCCUAAAUUAGAGACCAGGUGGUGGAAAUGGUGCUCAGUCCCACGCAGGCUGACCCCUCCUCGAUAGGCUUUGAUCUGUUUGGUGGUGCUGUAAAUACAUUUAGUUCCAAGGGGCAGUGAAGAGCAAAACACACACAUUGACCAGAACACCCGGAGGUUGGACAGCGAGAGUGAGGUUUUGAACCUCGUGACACGUGAGCUUCAGCUGAGCCCAUUAAUCCUCUGGCUGUCACGGGCCCUCAGGAGCUCGUGGCUCAGGCUGCCCUUGGAGAGGUGUCAGUUUGUCCUUCCCAGGGGGACAUUCCUUGGAUCCCACGGGUAACCGACACCCUUGGCGGGAGUUCCCGGAGUGCCUUCUCCUCUAUGCCCACUGGCAGGGAUCCCUCACAGUGCUGGGACUGAGUAAGUACCACCCCCUCCCUGCCUGCCCCGUCUGUCUGUCCUGUGUCUCAGCUCACAGCAUGGAAGGGUCACUGGGAUGUAUUUGCCACGUGGCCAUCCCAGGAUUUGACGUGGCCCUCCUGCAGUGACUGGAGGGAACAACCUGGGAGAUGCUCCCCUGGUCUUAUUUUCCUGCAUUUCCUGCAUUUCCAGUGUGUCUGUGAAAAAGCUAUUGCUCAGCUAUCAGUUUAAACUAAACACUCUGUCUGCUUGUUUUUUUCUGUGAAUUUUAGGGGACUCUUGAAUUAUUUGGUGGAAAUAGUCGACUGGGACCUAUUUCUGAAUGGCUGUAAUUUCAGGAGGUGCAUCUUGGAUAGGUGUCUGUGUGCGUGCAGCAGUAAACACACUGAUUGCAGAGGUGAGUUCUCAUGCCAGAAACGACUUCAAGCUCUUCUAAGUAGCAUCUUUUUAAGAGGAGGUUCCUUUCCAGGUUUCUGUUGACUUACCAAACAGUUAAUUCUAUUU